rnacentral:rRNA from 1 species
GAUCAUGGCUCAGGACGAACGCUGGCGGCGUGCUUAACACAUGCAAGUCGAACGGGGAUGGUUGAUUGAGAGCUUCGGCAGGAUAUCGAUUAAUUCGAGUGGCGGACGGGUGAGUAACGCGUGAGCAACCUGUCCCAGACAGGGGGAUAACACUUGGAAACAGGUGCUAAUACCGCAUAAGACCACGGGAUCACAUGGUUCUGGGGUAAAAGGAGCAAUCCGGGUUUGGGGUGGGCUCGCGUCCGAUUAGCCAGUUGGCGGGGUAACGGCCCACCAAAGCGACGAUCGGUAGCCGACCUGAGAGGGUGAACGGCCACAUUGGAACUGAGAGACGGUCCAAACUCCUACGGGAGGCAGCAGUGGGGAAUAUUGGGCAAUGGGCGAAAGCCCUGACCCAGCAACGCCGCGUGAGUGAAGAAGGCCUUCGGGUUGUAAAGCUCUGUUAUAGUUGACGAAGGAAGUGACGGUAGGCUAUAAGGAAGCCCCGGCUAACUACGUGCCAGCCGCCGC